UUUACAAGUGGUAUUUCUCAAACUCGACUUGUCUAAUUCGGGACAAGUGGGACGGCAUCGAUCACAGUGACGGAGACGGAGCUGGUGCAUAUGCCAUUGAAGCGGUAGUUUUCAUAUCUGAUAUUACAACUGGGUCUAAUAACUCUUCCACCUAUUUUUCCCUUACAACAUCUUGGGAUUUCUGAGCAGUGGUUGCACUCUUGCUGAGACAAGUUAGGAGUGCACUGGUUUUGACCAUAUGAGAAGUGUUAGAAACCAUAGAGAUAAAAGGGUGUUGAGGUUGGUCUUAUAGGGUGCUAUUAGCUGUGUGGUUCCCUUCGUUGUUAUCACAUGUUAAGCUUAACUGGGCGCUGGCUAGCUUGAGAUACGAUUAUGAAAAGGAGGCAACAAACAACGGAAUGCUUUCUAGAGGAAACAACUGCCAUUUGACGUGAUAUUGCACUUUUGCUGAGACACAGGCCACAUACGGAAACUGUAAAAUUGGGACUGGUAGAGCCUCGUGUGUCCUAAAUCUAAAUGCUUUGAAUUUUUCCUUUUAAAUCGAGAGAAAAUGCUUUAAAGUUUGAAUAACAUGUACUCAUUGUACUUUGUAACUAAUUUUCAAUUCAGAAACUUCUCUAAA